CAGCUAUGCUUUCUGUCAACAGACCAAUAUGAUAAAGACACCCCCCCCCCUCCCCCCUCCACCCUGACCUCUUCUCACUGUUAAUCACUCAGUCUGUCUGUCUAUUUCUCCUCCUCUCUCUCUCCCUCUAUCUCUUCCUCACCACCCCUCCCUUUCUCACUCUCUCACACUCCCUCCCUCUAUCUACACCCCCCCACCCAAUCCAAUAAUAUCAAAAUAAAAGCCCCAUGGAGGGAAUUUUUACUGUAAUGUUUGUGACAAGGCCUAUUCAUUAAAAACUUCUUAGUUUGAAUAACAAACAUUCAGUCUCCCAACCCCCCUCACCCAAUUCCAUCAUUACAAAAUAAAAGCCUCAAUGAUUAUCUGUACCUUAACCAUGAAGCUCAAAAUGAAGCGGUUUCGUUGAAAUACGCAUUGCUCUUUCAAAUACUACUACAACCACUACGAAUAUUACUCGUACUUCUAGUACUACAACUGAUACUUCUACUACCAUACUACUAGUAUUUCUACUGCUAUUAAUACUACAACUACUACUAAUGUUAUUACAAAUACUACUAUGGCUAAUAGUGUCAGUAUUCCAGCUGUUUCUACUGCUAUUGAUACUAAACCGACUUCUACUGCUAGUACUACUAAUACCACAAUUACAACUAUAACUAAUACUACUACUAAUAAUAUUACUACAAACAAUUUUAAACCUCUUUUUAUUCAUCUCAGCUUUUAUUUCUGUACUUUUUAAAAUUCAAUUAAGCUCUUGCAACUUCUGUAUUUUUUAGAAAAUCUAUUGAAAUUCAGCUUCCCCACUUCCUGUAUUUUCAGCAGUUUUUUAAAAUAAUUUCUGCUUUUCCUAUGCCUCUAUUUACAGCAAUGUUUUAAUAUUCAUUUAUUUAUUUUUGCGUAUUUUUUAGAUAGCUGUUAUAGUUUUGCGCUGGUUGUCAUUUGUUUGAGGUGUGGUUUCUUGGUAAAAUCCGUUUACUCUGUGAUCAGCCCGCGAAAACAGCAGCUGCGCCGUCUCCAUGACGACCACACAGGCUCGUGCCAGCACUCACUCUCCCUUCCCUACGGAGUCUGACAGACAAGCAGGCUCACGUGGGGUGGGUUUCUCAGCCAAUCACAUACUGUCUACUCUUGUCCAAUAGAAAUCUUUCGUUCAACGUGUGAACGGGAAAAUAGAGAAUCCUUGACAUCUUGACUCAUCAUUUACAUAAACUAUCCUGAAGUCGAAAAAAGAGGUGACAUCAGAGGAGGUGGUUGGUGUGUGUGGGGUGGUUGAAGUGGAGGGCUCUCUAGACACCCUGAACCUCCUGCUGGAGGACGAUCGCACCACCAACGUCAGCAGAGCGCUGUGGGAGCCCCUUGACCCCCAACUGAAAACUCCACCCCUGAUGGUGAAAAUAAAAAUCAUUGGAAAUCAUGUUUUCAAAAUUCAAUUGUAUACAGUUUAAUUUGUUUGUUUCAUACGUUCUUUGUUCCUGAACGUUCUGUAAUGCAUUUGAGUUUUUUUUACUCUGUUUAUUUUGUUAUUUUAUUGUUGGAUUGAUCCGUUCUGUCAAAUAAAAAUAUUUCAAAA
ensembl:lncRNA